rnacentral:misc_RNA from 1 species
GAUGAAGAACGCAGCGAAAUGCGAUACUUGGUGUGAAUUGCAGAAUCCCGUGAACCAUCGAGUCUUUGAACGCAAGUUGCGCCCGAAGCCAUUAGGCCGAGGGCAUGCCUGCCUGGGCGUCACACGUCGUUGCCCCCCCAUCUACUCCUUCGGGAUUGCGGGGGGCGGAUGAUGGCCUCCCGUGCGCCUCGUCGCGCGGUUGGCAUAAAUGCCAAGUCCUCGGCGACGCACGCCACGACAAUCGGUGGUUGCGAAACCUCGGUUGCCCGUCGUGUGCGGUCGUCGCGCAUCGAGGGCUCGAAAAAAUUGCCGGGCUCCGGCUCGGCUUUCAACGCGACCCCAGGUCAGGCGGGGUUACCCGCUGAAUUUAAGCAUAUCAAUAAGCGGAGGA